ACUGAAUUGGGUCAUUUCUAUGUUCUUUUUGAUUCCUUCUAGUUUGUUUCAUACACUGGCCUGUGUUGACUUUUCUUUGAGUUCUGUGCUGUUGUCCCUGAAUGGUGGGGUCCUCAGAUGUACUAUCCAUAUUGUAUUCCGGUGCGGGAACAUUUUCCCCAACUGCAAAGGAUUGGGCACCUCUACUAACCAGUUUAUACGUGGGACGCCUACCACAGCAUGGCUGCCAAGCAGUGCCAUGUCCGCACCCAGGAUCCGAACCAGCGAACCCCGGGCCGCCGAGAAGCGGAACGUGCGAACUUUACCGCUGCGCCACCGGGCUGGCCCCGACACAGGAACAAUUUUAAUGGAUGAUGACAUCUUGAAGGUUACUUUAGGAGAAGUAUCGGUUUGGAAUAUUUAAG
rnacentral:lncRNA from 1 species